GGAGCUGGGCUGAGUCAUGGGGUGGUUUCUUUUCUGGGGAGAAAGUAUCCAAAGGAAGUGGCAGGGUUAAAGAGCCCCAGCCCCUGGGUGCACCCCGGGGGCUGCCGAGUAUUCGAUGCGGAAGGGCCGAUAGUUAACUACCGUCCCACGCACGGGAUGAAAGCCCCGGUCGGUCUUUCUUUGAUCAAGAGGGUGAAGAAACUGGAUGCUCCUAUCCGGGGCCGGUCCUCCCUGUGUUCUGUAUUUAGCUACCCUGGUUCCAGGCAGCCAUCAACUCGCUCCUGGUCAAUAUCCACCUGACCUCUAUGACACAUCGCUAACCAAGGUCAUGACUGCGGGCCUGUAUUACUAUUUCACGAAUCUUCGUUGCCCACUGUUCCCACCAGACCGAAAGCUCCUAAGGCAGGCGUUCUGUUUUGCUGGCCAUUGGAUUCCUGGCAUAGAUAGAUACCUGGCACUUGCCUGGCCCAGGUUAAUAUCCAUCGAAUAUGCACCAGUGAUCUGCCGUGAGCCACGCAUUGGCAAAGCAGGGAUGGGGCAGGCAGAGAGAACUUCGCUCUCAAGGGGCACACGUUGCGGGUCAGCAACCUUUUCCCGAAAGGACCAGAUAACGGAUAUGUUAGUUUUUUUCUGGCCGUGCAUUUCUGUCGUGACUGCUGGGUCCCGCCGCCGUGUCACCGAAGCAGCCGCAGAGAAUGUUUAUGCCAGUGAGCGGGGCUGUGUUCCAAUAAAACAGUAUUUACAACACCGAUCCCGGGGAAAGUGACGGGAUACAGCCAGAGCAUUGCACAACUUGAAGGGGCCCCUAUGGAGACACGUUGGAAGCCAGUGGAGGGGCCUGGGCUGAUGUGACACCACUGCCCUCAGAAAGUGUGUCCCCUGCUCCAGAAUCAUCAGAACUCUGUGGGGCAUGGGGACUAAGGACGAUUGCUCAUUCAUUCAUUCCGCAGGUAUUUAUUGGGCGCCUACAGCAUGCCUGUGCUGUAUGGGACAAAGAAGAUGGGUCAGGUGCCAGCCUCAUGAAGUUACAUUCUCAUGAUGAGCCUCACUCAGAUUCACGUGGCUGGGCUUCCAUUAAAUUCAGAAAGGCUUCCCAGGGCGCCUGGGUGGCUCAGUCAGUUGAGCGUCUGACUUGGUUUCGGCUCAGGUCACGAUCUCCCGGUUUAGUGAGUUCAAGCCCCACG